AUUGAACGCUGGCGGCAGGCCUAACACAUGCAAGUCGAGCGGAUGAAGGGAGCUUGCUCCUGUAUUCAGCGGCGGACGGGUGAGUAAUGCCUAGGAAUCUGCCUGGUAGUGGGGGACAACGUCUCGAAAGGAACGCUAAUACCGCACACGUCCUACGGGAGAAAGCAGGGGACCUUCGGGCCUUGCGCUAUCAGAUGAGCCUAGGUCGGAUUAGCUAGUUGGUGAGGUAAUGGCUCACCAAGGCGACGAUCCGUAACUGGUCUGAGAGGAUGAUCAGUCACACUGGAACUGAGACACGGUCCAGACUCCUACGGGAGGCAGCAGUGGGGAAUAUUGGACAAUGGGCGAAAGCCUGAUCCAGCCAUGCCGCGUGUGUGAAGAAGGUCUUCGGAUUGUAAAGCACUUUAAGUUGGGAGGAAGGGUUGUAGAUUAAUACUCUGCAAUUUUGACGUUACCGACAGAAUAAGCACCGGCUAACUCUGUGCCAGCCGCCGCGGUAACAC
rnacentral:rRNA from 1 species